UACAGAGGGUGCGAGCGUUAGUCGGAAUUACUGGGCGUAAAGGGCGCGUAGGCGGAUGUUUAAGUCAGCGGUGAAAGCCCAGGGCUCAACCUUGGAACUGCCAUUGAUACUGGACAUCUUGAGUACGGGAGAGGUGAGUGGAACACCGAGUGUAGAGGUGAAAUUCGUAGAUAUUCGGUAGAACACCAGUGGCGAAGGCGACUCACUGGCCCGUUACUGACGCUGAGGCGCGAAAGCGUGGGGAGCAAACAGG
rnacentral:rRNA from 1 species